rnacentral:siRNA from 1 species
AACCGCAGCGGAUCAUCUACGGA